AGUCGAACGGUUAAAGCUCUCUUCGGAGAGUGUAUAAAGUGGCGAACGGGUGAGUAACACGUAGAUACGUGCCUUGAAGUGGGGGACAACCAUUGGAAACGAUGGCUAAUACCCCAUACGUUGGCUCUUACGAGCUUAACAAAAGCUCCGGCGCUUCAAGAGUGGUCUGCGGUCCAUCAGCUAGUUGGUAAGGUAAUGGCCUACCAAGGCUAAGACGGAUAGGGGGCGUGAGAGCGCGAACCCCCACACUGGUACUGAUACACGGACCAGAUACCUACGGGUAGCAGCAGCGAGGAAUAUUGCGCAAUGGGGGAAACCCUGACGCAGCAACGCCGCGUGGAGGAAGAAGGCCUUCGGGUCGUAAACUUCUUUUCUGACAGAAGAGAAAGGACGGUAUGUCAGGAAUAAGGCCCGGCUAACUACGUGCCAGCAGCCGCGGUAAAACGUAGGGGCCAAGCGUUAUCCGGAAUUACUGGGCGUAAAGCGCGCGCAGGCGGUUAGGAAAGUUGGAUGUGAAAGCUCCUGGCUCAACUGGGAGAGGCCAUUCAAAACUACCUGACUUGAGUACGAUAGAGGCAAGUGGAAUUCCCGGUGUAGCGGUGAAAUGCGUAGAUAUCGGGAGGAACACCAAAGGCGAAAGCAGCUUGCUGGGUCGUUACUGACGCUGAGGCGCGAAAGCUAGGGGAGAGAACGGGAUUAGAAACCCCGGUAUUCCUAGCCGUAAACGAUGUCAACCAGGUGUUGGGAAGCAUUAGCUUCUCAGUGCUGCAUCUAACGAGGUAAGUUGACCGCCUGGGGAGUACGGUCGCAAGGCUAAAACUCAAAGGAAUUGGCGGGGGCCCGCACAAGCGGCGGAGCGUGUGGUUUAAUUCGAGGCAACGCGAA
rnacentral:rRNA from 1 species